ACAAGAGACCGGCUCUGGAUAUGUCUGAGAGCAAGCUGAACUAACUUCCUGUUUCCUUUUCUCCAGAGUCUCAAGUUCUUCAGACACAAACAGAAACCUAAAACUGCUCCUCCCCCUCCUCCAUCUCAAACUGAAACUCCUGCAGCUAACGGAGCGUCAACUUUAGGAUUCAAACUCGGGUUUGGAUACCGCUUUGGGAAACCUAAAGGUCCCCGCAGUCAUCCGGAGACCUGGGUGUGAAAAUAUUGAAGCUGAUGAUGAUGAUGAUGAUGAUGAUGAUUGAGCACGUCGCUAACGGACAGCGAAGAGUUCCUUAAACACAGAAAAGAAGCUGAAGCUGCUUCCCUUUUCCUCUGUUAACAGGAAGUGCCUUUUCCAGCGCUGAUGCACUUUGUCCUGCAGAGAGGAGGCUUUAAUAACUCCUGCACCAAAGACUUGAAUGUUUAAUAAAUCUAGCUCACCUGCAGGAUAAUUAGCUUCAAGAGGCGGGUAGAGAGAGGUUUUAAUGCUGUAAUACUUAGUGUAAGAGGAGUAUAUUUUGAUAUAUAUGUGUACAUCAGUCAAUGCACCAUGCGUGUCAUUAAGUUUGGUUUCUCCGCCAUCAUUCACAUCCCUCUGUAGUAUUUAAAUUAAUAUUUUUAAAGGAUACAUUUAUUUUUGAGAGGUGAUUUCGAGGUACAGUGAAUGUGAUGUAUACUGGUUACACACAAAAUAAUUUAUUAAAAAAAGAUAGAACUUC